CUCUACAGACAUACCACCCUGAAUGCUCCCUAUCUUGUCUGAUCUUGGAAGCUAAGCAGGAUUAGGGCUGUCACUACUUGGAUGGGACAAACUCUAUUUUGUCUGAAAUUAGAACAGUAACUCUUGGCC
ensembl:rRNA 5S_rRNA 5S ribosomal RNA